rnacentral:rRNA from 1 species
AUUGUAUGAAUGGAAAGGGGAGGUUUUACUGGGGGUUACUUCCUAUCAGUGAAAUUGACCUUCCCGUGAAGAGGCGGGAAUAAAUAUCUAAGACGAGAAGACCCUAUGGAGCUUUAAUUAACUAUUCCAAAGUUAAACGAUUCAACCACAAAGGGAUAAAACAAACUUAACAUGGACUAGCAAUUUCGGUUGGGGUGACCUCGGAGUACAAAAAACCCUCCGAGUGAUUUUAAUCUAGACAACCAGUCAAAAUAACCAUAACAUCACUUAUUGAUCCAAAAUUUGAUCAACGGAACAAGUUACCCU